rnacentral:rRNA from 1 species
GGAAUAUUGGACAAUGGGCGCAAGCCUGAUCCAGCAAUGCCGCGUGAGUGAAGAAGGCCUUAGGGUUGUAAAGCUCUUUCGCCCGCGACGAUGAUGACGGUAGCGGGAGAAGAAGCCCCGGCUAACUCCGUGCCAGCAGCCGCGGUAAUACGGAGGGGGCUAGCGUUGUUCGGAAUUACUGGGCGUAAAGCGCACGUAGGCGGCGCCGCAAGUCAGGGGUGAAAUCCCGGGGCUCAACCCCGGAACUGCCCUUGAAACUGCAGUGCUAGAAUCCUGGAGAGGCGAGUGGAAUUCCGAGUGUAGAGGUGAAAUUCGUAGAUAUUCGGAAGAACACCAGUGGCGAAGGCGACUCGCUGGACAGGUAUUGACGCUGAGGUGCGAAAGCGUGGGGAGCAAA